GAUGAACGCUAGCGGCAGGCUUAACACAUGCAAGUCGAGGGGUAUAGGAAGCUUGCUUCCUAGAGACCGGCGCACGGGUGCGUAACGCGUAUGCAACCUACCUUUUACAGAGGGAUAGCCCAGAGAAAUUUGGAUUAAUACCUCAUAGUAUAUGUUUUUCGCAUGUUAGACAUAUUAAAGUAACAACGGUAAAAGAUGGGCAUGCGUCCUAUUAGCUAGAUGGUAAGGUAACGGCUUACCAUGGCAACGAUAGGUAGGGGUCCUGAGAGGGAGAUCCCCCACACUGGUACUGAGACACGGACUAGACUCCUACGGGAGGCAGCAGUGAGGAAUAUUGGACAAUGGGCGCAAGCCUGAUCCAGCCAUGCCGCGUGCAGGAAGAAGCAUCUAUGGUGUGUAAACUGCUUUUGUACGGGAAGAAACACUCCCUCGUGAGGGAGCUUGACGGUACCGUAAGAAUAAGGAUCGGCUAACUCCGUGCCAGCAGCCGCCGUAACAC
rnacentral:rRNA from 1 species